rnacentral:miRNA from 1 species
CAGGGGCGACGUAGAACACAUGCA